AUUGAACGCUGGCGGCAGGCCUAACACAUGCAAGUCGAGCGAGCGGCGGACGGGUGAGUAAUGUAUGGGGAUCUGCCCGAUAGAGGGGGAUAACUACUGGAAACGGUGGCUAAUACCGCAUACUAUCGGAUGAACCCAUAUGGGAUUAGCUAGUAGGUGGGGUAAAGGCUCACCUAGGCGACGAUCUCUAGCUGGUCUGAGAGGAUGAGCAGCAACACUGCGGAUGAGACACGUUCCAGAAGCCUACGGGAGGCAGCAGUGGGGAAUAUUGCACAAUGGGCGCAAGCCUAAUGCAGCCAUGCCGCGUGUAUGAAGAAGGCCUUCGGGUUGUAAAGCACUUUCAGCGAGGAGGCGUUACUCGCAGAAGAAGCACCGGCUAACUCCGUGCCAGAGGCCGCGGUAAUUC
rnacentral:rRNA from 1 species